rnacentral:misc_RNA from 1 species
AAGUCGUAACAAGGUUUCCGUAGGUGAACCUGCGGAAGGAUCAUCAUCGAUUCUAAAAAGGAUGUGCUGGCUUCAAUGCAUGUGCACUCCGAUUUACCUUCAACCCCUGUGCACUAUAUUGUAGGUAUGAAGAAAGAGAAAUACGUAGUAAUAUGUGUAUCUCAAGUAUUUGUGUCUACGAUUUUUUAUACACUCGUAACUUAUAAAGAAAUGUUCAAGUAGACUUAUAAAGUCGAAAUUAUAAAACAACUUUCAACAACGGAUCUCUUGGUUCUC